AGCCGUCUAAAAGAAAUUUGCUGUUCCAACUUUAUUGAUGUCAGACAAUUCCAUGAUGGAAGUUGAAGCUACUAUUCCUGCUGUUCCUAUUACAUCUGAAGCGGUUUCAGAAUCUACUUCACCAGAUGUAAUUGCUAUUCCAUCAACAUCCAAGGAAGUUACAUCUGAAGCUGUUUCGGAAUCUACUUCACCAGAUGUAAUCGCUAUUCCAUCAACAUCCAAAGGAAGUUACAUCUGAAGAUUUUUCACAACAGACACCUACAUCCCUUAGUGUGGAUAGUCCAAGAAAACAUGGGUUAAGGUUACAAAUU